rnacentral:rRNA from 1 species
AACGAACGCUGGCGGCAUGCCUAACACAUGCAAGUCGAACGAGACCUUCGGGUCUAGUGGCGCACGGGUGCGUAACGCGUGGGAAUCUGCCCUUGGGUUCGGAAUAACAGUUAGAAAUGACUGCUAAUACCGGAUAAUGUCUUCGGACCAAAGAUUUAUCGCCCAGGGAUGAGCCCGCGUAGGAUUAGCUAGUUGGUGAGGUAAAGGCUCACCAAGGCGACGAUCCUUAGCUGGUCUGAGAGGAUGAUCAGCCACACUGGGACUGAGACACGGCCCAGACUCCUACGGGAGGCAGCAGUGGGGAAUAUUGGGACAAUGGGCGAAAGCCUGAUCCAGCAAUGCCGCGUGAGUGAUGAAGGCCUUAGGGUUGUAAAGCUCUUUACCCGGGAUGAUAAUGACAGUACCGGGAGAAUAAGCCCCGGCUAACUCCGUGCCAGCAGCCGCGGUAA